rnacentral:rRNA from 1 species
CGUCAAAUCAUCAUGCCCUUUAUGUCCUGGGCUACACACGUAAUACAAUGGCGCCGAACAGAGGGAAGCGAGGCCGCGAGGCGGAGCGAAUCCCCAAAAGGCGCCCCAGUUCGGAUCGCAGGCUGCAACCCGCCUGCGUGAAGCCGGAAUUGCUAGUAAUCGCGGAUCAGCAAGCCGCGGUGAAUACGUUCCCGGGCCUU